AACGAACGUUAGUGGCGCGCCUAACACAUGCAAGUCGCGCGAGAAAGGGCUUCGGCCCCAGUAAAGCGGCGCACGGGUGAGUAACACGUAGGUCAUCUUCCCCUGAGUGGUGGAUAACUCUCCGAAAGGAGAGCUAAUACAACAUAAGACCACGACCUCGCCGAGGUUGUGGCCAAAGCAGACCUCUUCAUGAAAGUUUGCGCUUAGGGAUGAGCCUGCGGCCCAUCAGCUAGUUGGUAGGGUAAUGGCCUACCAAGGCUAAGACGGGUAGCUGGUCUGAGAGGAUGAACAGCCACACUGGAACUGAGACACGGUCCAGACUCCUACGGGAGGCAGCAGUGGGGAAUCUUGCGCAAUGGGCGAAAAGCCUGACGCAGCGACGCCGCGUGAGCGAUGAAGGCC
rnacentral:rRNA from 1 species